rnacentral:ncRNA from 2 species
UUCUUAUCAAGAGAGGCGGAGGGACUGGCCCUGUGAAGCCCGGCAACCGGUAUGAAUUUUAGAUUGCAUACAAUGGUGCUAAUUCCUGCAGCGAAAGCUGAAAGAUGAGGA